rnacentral:misc_RNA from 1 species
UACCUAAAUCAUAGAGAAGAUGAGGCUGAUUGCAAGUUUUUACUACUAUCUUCAUGUAUCUCAACAUUAAAGAAGUCCUGGAGGGCUAUCAUAUUAAUGUUGCUGGAUUUUAAGGUCUUCAUUGCCUCCGCAGUUGCCAAAGCACCAGCAACUGUUGUUAUUAUAGGCACACUAUAGGCAAGAGCCAUCCUCUCAGUUGCCGGCCAUCAAUUU